rnacentral:rRNA from 1 species
GACGAACGCUGGCGGCGUGCUUAACACAUGCAAGUCGAACGGAAAGGCCCUGUCUUUGUGGGGUGCUCGAGUGGCGAACGGGUGAGUAACACGUGAGUUACCUGCCCUUGACUUUGGGAUAACCUCAGGAAACUGGGGCUAAUACCGGAUAGGAGCUCUUGCUGCAUGGUGGGGGUUGGAAAGUUUCGGCGGUUGGGGAUGGACUAGCGGCUUAUCAGCUUGUUGGUGGGGUAGUGGCUUACCAAGGCUUGGACGGGUAGCCGGCCUGCGAGGGUGACCGGCCACAUUAGGACUGGGAUACGACACAGACGCCAACGGGAGGCAGCGGUGGAGAGGAGUGCACAGUGGGCGGGAGCCAGGUGCGGCAACGCCGCGUGCGGGAAGACAGCCUUGGGGUUGUGAACCGAUUUCGCCUGUGACGAGGCGAUAGUGACGGUACUGGGUAAAUAAGCACCGGCUAACUACGUG